rnacentral:sRNA from 1 species
UGAUACCAAGGUCAAAAGUUCAGAAAUCUGACGCAAGCUUGCUUGCAGGAAGCUUUCUGAACUUGGGACCUGCCAAAAACAUGAGUAAGUAGCCAUUUUUCGAAGAAAAAUGAGCGAAUUGCGAAUGUUUUUGAGGAUUGUGAUAGUACGAAGUACGGAACAAUCCGAUAUCA